UCGCACCCAAUACUAUGCUAACUGCUAUGUUUACUAUGCAAACAGGUUUAACCAUUUGCUAACCUAUGCUGCUAUGGUUACUAUUCUAACUGUUAUUUUCCUCACUUUAUGGACUUUUAGCUGAGUGUCUAUGCACUGCUCCUGUCUAAUGUCAAUGUGCCAGGAUAGAGCAUCCAUAAUGCAGCAAGGAUAAAGAUAAUUUUCACAUGGGUGUUGACCAAAUGGCUUCUCCAGCAGCAGAUGGGACAGAAGUUGGACAUUGAAGACGAGGCAUGGGGAGCCCUGAGGAUGACCUGACUCUGAGAGCAGCUUUUUAUGGAAUGCUGUUCCACAUCCAGGCAGACAGCUCAGACUGGAAGAGCGCUCUGAAUCUGCUGAAGCGUGCUAUCCCCACACAAGAAACAGGUUGCUCCUGUUGAUAGACUGGGUGCUGGUGAGGGCCUGGCUAGGGGAGAGCAUUCUGCUAGACAUGCCGAAGUUCAGGGAUGAAGGGGAACUCAGUGCCACAUGUGGGAGCAAUGGAGUUGCACUGUGUGCUGGGGAAAUACUAAAGCAGCUGGCCAGCUACCAGAACUCCAUAAUCUCCCUACUGGGAGAGAGAAUUCCCAAGGAGGCACUGAUUUCUCAUGGGAUGAGUAUGUGGAAUGGCAAUGCUGACCUGGGAUCAAAUACUAUUUCAAAUAUCUUCAAGUACUUUAGCAGGGCUUGAUUAUGCUUGCCUGGAUCCAAUAGAAUAUUCUCAGCUGCAAUCCUGACACUUUGGAACAUUUUCAAAUAGUGUUGAACCCAGUUCUUAUGUAACGUUACAGUGCCUACAUAGUGUUCAGACCCUUUGACUUUUUCCACAUUGUGUUGUUACAGCCUGAAUUUAAAUUUGAUUUAAAUUUAGAUUUUUGUUCACUGGCCUACACACAAU